rnacentral:rRNA from 1 species
AACGAACGCUGGCGGCAUGCCUAACACAUGCAAGUCGAACGAGACCUUCGGUUCUAGUGGCGCACGGGUGCGUAACGGGUAGAAACCUUCCCUUAUGUUCGGAGUAACUCCCCUAAAGGGGUGCAAAUACCGGAGAAUGUCUUCAGACCAACGUUUUAUCGCCUUUGGAUGGGCCCGGGUUGGUGUAGAUAGUUGGUAGGGUAAAAGCCUAACAAGGCGACGAUCAGUAGCUGGUCUGAGAGGAUGCCCAGCCACACUGGGACUGAGACACGGCCCAGACUCCUACGGGAGGCAGCAGUGGGGCAUAUUGGACAAUGGGCGAAAGCCUGAUCCAGCAAUGCCGCGUGAGUGAUGAAGGCCUUAGGGUUGUAAAGCUCUUUUACACGGGAUGAUAAUGACAGUACCGGGAGAAUAAGCUCCGGCUAACUCCGUG